UGGCAGCAGUGAUGAUUUUGUCAGUCUUGCUGAUUGACUGAAGGUUUUCAGUCACUACCUCAUCUGAGGCUGCCA